rnacentral:sRNA from 1 species
GAGAUCGCUCACUAGCUCCAAGUGCACAGC